rnacentral:lncRNA from 1 species
GAAGAGCAUUGAGAUCGAAAAUUCCUAAAAGUGUUGCCAAAUACAGCUAAGGUAAUCUAUGCCUGAGGUAGAAAAGCCUUAGCAUUUAAAAAAUAUCGAAAUUUUGUAAACAGUUAAUCUAUAAAUAUACUAGGCUUGUGAUACCCUCGGGGAAAUAAAUCUCCACCAGCAGUGGCAUCGACCCAGUGGUUGUAAAUAAACUCAUCAUAGAUACCAGGACUAAAUUUUGUAUAUACACCAGACGCGCGUUUCGUCUUCAAAAGACUCAUCAGUGACGCUCGAAUCAAAAACAAAAAAAGGCAUGAUAACUAAAAGCUAACACUUCACAUAAGGAGAACGCUUCUCCGUCCCAUCGUAAUUAUGUUUGUAGUAAAAUCUGGAGGACACAUACUUAAUUAAAUCAUAAUUAAAAAAAUGCUUUUGAUAUGAUCAAAAUGUAUUAUCACAGAAAAAAGUAAAAUCACAAAAAUACUGAACUCAGAGGAAAAGCAAUUCGGAAAGUCCAUAAUCACAUGGCAAAAUCAAAUAACAAAACGCAUCAAAAACGAAUGGACAAGAACUGUCAUAUUCCUGACUUGGUACAGGCAUUUUCAAAUGUAGAAAAUGGUGGAUUGAACCUGGUUUUAUAGCUAGCUAAACCUCUCACUUGUAUGACAGUCGCAUCAAUUUCCAUUAUAUUGUCAUCGAUGCGUGAACAAAACAAACAGACACAAUAGGUCAAAAUGUCAAAAAUAGGGGUACAGCAGUCAACAUUGUGUUAUCAUCUUAAUCACUAUAAAAACAACAAAUGUAACGAAGAAGCACAAAAAGGCAUACAUCAAAUUAACAUCCUCAUUUUGAUUAUAUUAUACGAUUUUAUUUGUCUAUGUAAAAUGCACCCAUCAAGGAAGGAGGGUUUUGAGUACUGGUGUAAAAUUGCGCGUUUGAAAUUCGCACAGGUAGACAUGAAAUAAUUUUGUCGUUCAAAGUAUGACGAUAGAGAAAAGUUUGUAUUUAUAUAGAAUUUACAUUUGUAAUAGGCGGUACCAAAUCAAUAUGAAAACAUAAUUAUGUACUGACUUGUUGGUCUUUUUGGUUCUGACUUGAAUCACCACUAACGAUUGGUGCCCGUUGUGUGUUGAUAAUUAGAAGAUACCAUCAACUGGUAUUUGCACCCACCAAAUCACUAAUUGAUGGCGUUGGCGCCUAAAAUACAUCACAACUAUCUCUAUACGUCAAAUAAUGCAUUUAAAAUCUAUUACACGUUAUCUGAGGUUGGGCGUCCGUUUUCCUAACACACAUUGUAAGUUGAUGCCAUGAAAAUUAGUGAUGUUAUCUAAUCAACCUAAACGUUAUACAUGAUGUUUCAUUAACAUAUAAAAAAGAAGAUGUGGUAUGAUUGCCAAUGAGACAACUGUCCACAAGAGACCAAAAUGACACAAACAUUAACAACUAUAGGUCACCGUACGGCCUUCAACAAUGAGCAAAGCCCAUACCGCAUAGUCAGCUAUAAAAGGCCCCGAUAAGACAAUGUAAAACAAUUCAAACGAGAAAACCAACGGCCUUAUUUAUAUAUAAAAAAAUGAACGAAAAACAAAUAUGUUACACAUAAACAAACGACAAUCACUGAAUUACAGGCUCCUGAUUUGGGACAGGCACAUACAUAAAUAAUGUGGCGGGGCUAAACAUGUUGGCGGGAUCCCAACCCUCCCCUAACCAUUUGCUAACAUAAGAACGAUAUAUGUUUGAUAUUCAUUUAUUUGUAAAUGCAUUCUUACAUGUAAUCUAAAUAUACGCACCUUCAAAAUGCCGCCUAAUUGUAAAUAUUUUGUCUUGAAUUAAAAUUCAAAUCAUUAUCACCCAUGACAGACUGAUAUGGGAAAACAAAUCAAGGACAAACCCAGC